AUUGAACGCUGGCGGCAUGCUUUACACAUGCAAGUCGAACGGUAACAGGCCUUCGGGUGCUGACGAGUGGCGAACGGGUGAGUAAUGCAUCGGAACGUGCCCAGAGGUGGGGGAUAACGCAGCGAAAGCUGUGCUAAUAUCGCAUGUGAUCUGAGGAUGAAAGCGGGGGACCAGGCAGCAAUGUUUGGCCUCGCGCCUUUGGAGCGGCCGAUGUCAGAUUAGGUAGUUGGUGGGGUAAAGGCCUACCAAGCCGACGAUCUGUAGCUGGUCUGAGAGGACGACAGGCGACCCUGGGAGUGAGCCACGGCCCAGACUCCUGCGGGAGGCAGCAGUGGGGAAUGUGGGACAAUGGGCGCAAGCCUGAUCCAGCAAUGCCGAGUGCGGGAAGAAGGCCUUCGGGUUGUAAACCGCUUUUGUCCGGAACGAAAAGGCUCUGGCUAAUACCUGGGGCUGAUGACGGUACCGUAAGAAUAAGCACCGGCUAACUACGUG
rnacentral:rRNA from 1 species